rnacentral:tRNA from 1 species
GUGUGUAUAGUUCAGUGGUAGAGCACUUGCCUAGCAUGCAGUAGGUCCUGGGUUCAAGCCCUAGUAUCUCUA